rnacentral:pre_miRNA from 1 species
CAUGCACCAGUGGGGUCCCUCAGCCUGGCCUGCACCCUCUCACAGUCCAGGAUCCCUCAGGGGAUGUCGGAGAGCCAUGUUUGGCCCGAUUCUGCAGGCCAGGCCGAGGGACCCCACUGGUGCACA